UGAGGAAUUUUGCGCAAUGGGGGAAACCCUGACGCAGCGACGCCGCGUGGAGGAUGAAGUAUUUCGGUAUGUAAACUCCUGUCAGUGGGGAUGAUGAUGACAGUACCCACAGAGGAAGCACCGGCUAACUCCGUGCCAGCAGCCGCGGUAAGACGGAGGGUGCAAGCGUUGUUCGGAAUUACUGGGCGUAAAGCGUACGUAGGCGGUGGAUUAAGUCGAAUGUUAAAGCCUGGGGCUCAACCCCAGAGAUGCAUUCGAUACUGGUUCACUAGAGGGUGAUAGAGGAAAGCGGAAUUCCGAGUGUAGCGGUGAAAUGCGUAGAUAUUCGGAGGAACAUCAGUAGCGAAGGCGGCUUUCUGGGUCACACCUGACGCUGAGGUACGAAAGCGUGGGGAGCAAACG
rnacentral:rRNA from 1 species